rnacentral:rRNA from 1 species
GACGAACGCUGGCGGCGUGCCUAACACAUGCAAGUCGAGCGAUGAAGCUCCUUCGGGAGUGGAUUAGCGGCGGACGGGUGAGUAACACGUGGGUAACCUGCCCCAUAGAGAGGGAUAGCCUUCCGAAAGGAAGAUUAAUACCUCAUAAGAUUGUAGUUUCGCAUGAAACGGCAAUAAAAGGAGCAAUCCGCUAUGAGAUGGACCCGCGUCGCAUUAGCUAGUUGAUAAGGUAAUGGCUUACCAAGGCGACGAUGCGUAGCCGACCUGAGAGGGUGAUCGGCCACAUUGGGACUGAGAGACGGGCCAGACUCCUACGGGAGGCAGCAGUGGGGAAUAUUGGACAAUGGGGGAAACCCUGAUGCAGCAACGCCGCGUGGGUGAUGACGGUCUUCGGAUUGUAAAACUCUGUCUUUGGGGACGAUAAUGACGGUACCCAAGGAGGAAGCCACGGCUAACUACGUGCCAGCCGCCGCAGUAAGAC